rnacentral:tRNA from 1 species
GAGAGAGUAGUAUAAUGGUGUACAUUUAGCUUGAAACUAAAUAAAGGGGGUUCGAGUCCCUCAUCUCUUC